rnacentral:rRNA from 1 species
GACGAACGCUGGCGGCGUGCUUAACACAUGCAAGUCGAACGGAAAGGCCCUGCUUUUGUGGGGUGCUCGAGUGGCGAACGGGUGAGUAACACGUGAGUAACCUGCCCUUGACUUUGGGAUAACUUCAGGAAACUGGGGCUAAUACCGGAUAGGAGCUCCUGCUGCAUGGUGGGGGUUGGAAAGUUUCGGCGGUUGGGGAUGGACUCGCGGCUUAUCAGCUUGUUGGUGGGGUAGUGGCUUACCAAGGCUGUGACGGGUAGCCGGCCUGAGAGGGUGGCCGGCCACAUUGGGACUGAGAUACGGCCCAGACUCCUACGGGAGGCAGCAGUGGAGAAUAUUGCACAAUGGGCGGGAGCCUGAUGCAGCGACGCCGCGUGCGGGAUGACGGCCUUCGGGUUGUAAACCGCUUUCGCCUGUGACGAGGCGUGAGUGACGGUAAUGGGUAAAGAAGCACCGGCUAACUACGUG